rnacentral:rRNA from 1 species
UACGAGGGGGGCGAGCGUUGUUCGGAAUUACUGGGCGUAAAGAGUGUGUAGGCGGUGCUCUAAGUUCGGUGUGAAAUCUCCUGGCUUAACUGGGAGGGUGCGCCGGAAACUGGAGUGCUCGAACGUGGGAGAGGAAAGCGGAAUUCCUGGUGUAGCGGUGAAAUGCGUAGAUAUCAGGAGGAACACCUGCGGUGUAGACGGCUUUCUGGACCAUUGUUGACGCCGAGACACGAAAGCGUGGGUAGCAAACAGG